rnacentral:rRNA from 1 species
CCUACGGGGGGCUGCAGUGAGGAAUAUUGGUCAAUGGGCUUACGCCUGAACCAGCCAAGCCGCGUGAGGGAAGACUGCCCUAUGGGUUGUAAACCUCUUUUGUCAGGGAGCAACGCCGGCUACGUGUAGCCGGCCUGAGAGUACCUGAAGAAAAAGCAUCGUCUAACUCCGUGCCAGCAGCCGCGGGAAUACGGAGGGUGCGAGCGUUAAUCGGAAUUAAUGGGGGUAAAGCGCUCGUAGGCGGUAUGUCAAGUCAAGGGUGAAAUCCCCGGGGUCAACGUGGGAAAUGCCUUUGAAACUGGCAAACUGGAGAGUGUGAGAGGAUAGUGGAAUUCCAGGGGUAGGAGUGAAAUCCGUAGAUAUCUGGAGGAACAUCAGUGGCGAAGGCGACUAUCUGGCACAUAACUGACGCUGAGGAGCGAAAGCGUGGGUAGCAAACAGGAUUAGAUACCCCAGUAGUC